UACGGAGGGUGCAAGCGUUAUCCGGAUUCACUGGGUUUAAAGGGUGCGUAGGCUGUUAUAUAAGUCUGUUGUGAAAGGCGUCGGCUCAACCGGACGAACUGCAAUGGAUACUGUAUAACUUGAAUUAGGUUUAGGUAGGCGGAAUGCGGCAUGUAGCGGUGAAAUGCUUAGAUAUGCCGUAGAACACCGAUUGCGAAGGCAGCUUGCUGGGCCUAUAUUGACGCUGAGGCACGAAAGCGUGGGGAGCGAACAGG
rnacentral:rRNA from 1 species